rnacentral:rRNA from 1 species
AGCCAAUAGAUACCCAGGUAGUCCACGCCCUAAACGAUGUCUACUAGUUGUUGGUGGAGUAAAAUCCAUGAGUAAACGCAGCUAACGCGUGAAGUAGACCGCCUGGGGAGUACGGUCGCAAGAUUAAAACUCAAAGGAAUUGACGGGGGACCCGCACAAGCGGUGGAUUAUGUGGAUUAAUUCGAUGCAACGCGAAAAACCUUACCUGGCCUUGACAUGCCACUAACGAAGCAGAGAUGCAUUAGGUGCCCGUAAGGGAAAGUGGACACAGGUGCUGCAUGGCUGUCGUCAGCUCGUGUCGUGAGAUGUUGGGUUAAGUCCCGCAACGAGCGCAACCCUUGCCAUUAAUUGCCAUCAUUUAGUUGGGCACUUUAAUGGGACUGCCGGUGACAAACCGGAGGAAGGUGGGGAUGACGUCAAGUCCUCAUGGCCCUUAUGGCCAGGGCUUCACACGUAAUACAAUGGUCGGUACAGAGAGUUGCCAACCCGCGAGGGGGAGCUAAUCUCAGAAAGCCGAUCGUAGUCCGGAUUGUUCUCU